GCGGUCGUCGUCUAGCCUGGCAGGACGUCAGCUUCCCAAGCUGAAGAUCGCGGGUUCGAAUCCCGCCGACCGCA
rnacentral:tRNA from 1 species